rnacentral:lncRNA from 1 species
AAGAAGAUAGUAAAGGUAAACCCACCCGGAAAAGAAUCAUUUAUGGUGUAUGGGGACAAACGCAGAGUGAAUUCUGGAAUCAUCUCCCUGAUGAAAGCCAGGAAAUGUUUGUCCAAAGGAUGUGCAUCAUACUUGGCAUUCGUAAUCGAUGCCAAGAAGGAGAAGAAAGAGGUGCAGAAUAUACCGGUUGUGUGUGAUUAUCCGGAAGUCUUUCCCGAAGAUCUUCCCGGAUUACCACCUGAUAGGCAAGUGGAGUUUCGUAUAGACUUGUUACCAGGAACAACACCGAUAGCAAAGGCACCUUACCGAUUAGCACCGACGGAGAUGAAGGAGCUCAUGACGCAACUUCAGGAGCUGUUGGACAACGGUUUUAUUCGACCUAGUUCAUCACCCUGGGGAGCUCCGGUGUUAUUCGUGAAGAAGAAGGACGGAAGUAUGAGAAUGUGUAUAGACUACCGAGAGCUGAAUAAGGCAACGGUGAAGAACAAGUAUCCAUUGCCGAGGAUUGAUGACCUAUUCGAUCAGCUGCAAGGUUCGAGCUACUUCUCAAAGAUCGAUCUUAGGUCAGGAUAUCAUCAGCUAAAGGUGAGAAAGCAGGAUAUUGAGAAGACUGCAUUCAGAACGAGAUAUGGACACUACGAGUUCUUGGUUAUGUCAUUCGGGCUAACCAAUGCUCCCGCAGCAUUCAUGGAUUUGAUGAAUAGGGUUUGUAAACCAUUCCUCGAUAAAUCCGUGAUAGUGUUCAUCGACGACAUUCUCAUCUACUCGAAAAGCCAAGAGGAGCAUGGCAAGCAUCUACGGGAAGUAUUAGAAGUGUUGAAGAAGGAGAAGCUUUUUGCAAAGUUCUCCAAAUGCGACUUUUGGAUACGGGAAGUCCAAUUCUUGGGUCAUGUUGUUAACCAGGAGGGAAUAAUGGUUGACCCCGCAAAGAUCGAGGCUGUAAUGAAGUGGGAACGUCCAAAGAGUCCCACGGAGAUUCGAAGCUUUCUAGGAUUAGCCGGAUAUUAUCGACGAUUUAUCCAAGGCUUUUCUUCGAUAGCUGCUCCAUUAACAGCUUUGACUCAUAAAGGAGCUACGUAUACGUGGAGUGAGAAACACGAUGAGGCAUUCGAGAAGCUAAAGAAGAAGUUAUGUGAAGCACCGAUACUUUCUCUACCCGAUGGAGUCGAAGAUUUCGCGGUUUAUAGUGACGCUUCUGGAGUCGGGUUGGGUUGUGUUCUGACCCAAAGAGAAAAGGUGAUAGCAUACGCAUCUCGACAAUUGAAAGAGCACGAAAAGAACUACCCCACUCAUGAUCUGGAGUUGGCAGCGGUAGUUUUUGCCUUAAAGAUAUGGAGGCAUUACCUCUACGGCACGAAGUGCAAGCUCUUCACUGAUCAUAAGAGUCUCCAGUAUCUCUUUAAUCAGAAGGAGUUGAACAUGAGGCAACGACGCUGGCUAGAACUUCUCAAGGACUACGACUGUGAGAUACUUUACCACCCAGGUAAAGCAAAUAUUGUUGCUGAUGCUCUCAGUCGGAAAGUCAAUCUGGAAAGGAAAAGGCCAAGAGCGUUAAGAAUUGAAGUCGUCUCGACGAUUGUGGAAAGUAUCAGGAAAGCUCAAGAAGAAGCUUUAGAGAAAAAUGACCGAAAGGAAGAACGUUUGGGAAGAACGUUAGUGUUUGGUACAAACAGUCGAGGACUGAAGGUAUUCCAAGAUCGAAUUUGGGUACCUAAGACGGGAGGAAUAAGAGAUCUUCUGAUGGAAGAAGCACACAAGACCAUGUACUCGAUUCAUCCCGGUAGCACUAAAAUGUAUAGGGACCUAAAACCCUACUACUGGUGGCCGACGAUGAAGCUCGAUGUUGCGAAGUAUGUGGCCGAGUGCGUAACAUGUGCGAGGGUUAAGGCACAACAUCAGAAACCGUAUGGGAGUUUAGAACCUUUACCUGUACCCAUGGGUAAAUGGGAAGACAUCACCAUGGAUUUUGUGACUAAACUGCCCAGGACGAAGAACGGUCACGACAUGAUUUGGGUAGUCGUGGAUCGUUUCACCAAGAGUGCACACUUCAUAGCAGCCAACGAGAAGUGGUCUAUGGAUAAGCUCGCAAAUGCUUACGUGAAGGAAAUUGUAAGACUUCACGGUGUCCCUCUUACGAUUGUAUCAGAUCGUGAUAGUCGUUUCACGUCAAGGUUUUGGAGGAGUCUACAAGAGGAGUUAGGUACAAAGUUGUGUUUGAGUACUGCUUAUCAUCCGCAAACUGAUGGUCAGAGCGAAAGAACGAUUCAGACGCUGGAAGAUAUGCUGAGAGCAUGUACCCUCGAAUUCCAAGGGAAUUGGGACGAGCACUUACCUCUGGUAGAAUUUUCCUACAACAAUAGUUUUCACUCGAGCAUCAAGAUGGCUCCUUAUCAAGCCUUGUAUGGGCAGAAGUGUCGUACGCCGUCUUGUUGGCUUGAAGCCGGAGAGAAGCAGUUUAUGGGCCCCGAGAUAGUCCAUGAGACUGCUGAGAAGUUGAAGGUGAUUAGGGAAAGGAUGUUAGCAGCCCAGGAUCGUCAGAAGAGCUAUGCUGACAAGAAAAGACGACCGAUAACUUUCGAAGUUGGGGAUUCCGUUUUGCUUAAAGUCUCACCGUGGAAGGGACUUAUACGAUUUGGGAAACGAGGAAAGUUGAGUCCAAGGUUUAUUGGACCGUUCAAAGUUCUUCAGAAGAUAGGGAACCAAGCUUACAAGCUGGAAUUGCCCGAAGAACUCAAUGGUAUUCAUAACACCUUCCAUGUGUGUUAUUUGAGGAAAUUCACGGGAGAUGUUCCCGACAUAAUUCCAAUCUCAGAGUUAAGGAUGGAUGAAAAUAAAAGGUUGAUCGAAGAGCCUGAGGCAAUUGUUGACCGUAAGACUAAGAAGUUACGACGCAAGAUGGUCGACUUGGUGCUAGUCCGAUGGAAACAUUCGAAUGGGCCGAAUCUCACUUGGGAAACAGAGGAUGACAUGAUGAGUCGCUAUCCACAUCUGUUUGCUGAUGCAUGAUUCCGGGACGGAAUCAUCCUAAGGGGGAGAGAAUUGUAACGCCCGGGUUUCAGGGCUAAGCAUUUUUGUCAAUGUAAUAGUCUAGGUCAACUCUUGUAACUCUUUUUGAAGUAAUAAAGAUGAAAUAUUUGAGUAUUAUGUGAAUUAUAUGUGUUUAUUAUUUAAUUAUAAAUGUAUAAUUAAUAAAGAAUAAAAAUGAGCGUCAAAAUUAAAGUGUGAGAUAAUCCCGAUAUCUCUACAUAAAGUUGUAGAAUAUGUCUCAAGGUUUCCGUGCAUAUAAGGAACGCCGAAAUCCGAGUUAUAACGAAGAAGUUAUGACCCGUCGAAGUUUCACGACAGAACCGGCACGAUACCGGGAAGCGUGAAUAGUGAAUUUACGAUAGAGCGAGAUUUAGCCUUAGUGAUCUAAACGAAAGUCGUAGAAUAUGUUAAACUAAGAACAUCGAUAAAAAGAACGCCCAAAUCUGACUUCGUAUGAAGAAGUUAUGAGAUUUUAAACAGACCAAUCCUGUCCCGGCUUGUUAAAAAUAUAACUUUAAAAAUAAAGUCAAAAUUAGCCGACGGAGUCUAAACGAAAGUUGUAGAGUACGUCUUCACCUACGCGUGGAUAUAAAGAACGUCAAAAACGGAGUUCGUAUGAACGAGUUACAAAUUAUAAUAGCAUAUUUACGUAUUAAAAUAAAGUAUAAAUCAUGUAUACGUACACAUAUAUAUACAUAUGUAUAUAUCAUUAGAAAGGUAUCGACGAUGCGGUCAUUAUAAGACUAAUGUUGAGUUCUUUCGACAUUAGUUUAGUACAAAUAUCAUUAAAUCCAUUUAUAAUAGUAUUAUAGAGGGGUGUUUAGUUGUUUAUAUAACUAAAAGGUCAUUAAGUAAUUAUGGAGGGUAGUUUUUGAAAAUUCAAUUAGUAUAAAUAAGAGCCUUGGGCUCUCAUAUUUCUUGCACCAUUCUCUUGAUUCAAGAGUCUUUCUCUCCUUAUCCCCCGAGCAUUUCGGUCCCUCGUGAUUCGACUUCUCUUUCUGUAGCUUAGUAUAGUAAGGUGAGCGCUGAAGCGCUGCACGAAUCUUUCUUAGAAAGAUUCAGCGACGAAGUUCUGCCCCUGCAGAGCCCGACUCCUAGCUAAAACCCCCUUGUAAGUAAGUUAUGCUUACCUUAUUUUAAUAUAGCUUAUAUUUAAAAUUAGUAUUGUUAUUAUGAACUUAUAAUAAAUAUUUGAGCUAUUAUUAUAACUUAUAUAAGUGUCGUUAUAAUAUUUUUUUUAACUACUCGCGGUACGGGGAAUCUGGUUUAAAGGGCCGCAUAGGGUUGUUGGAUUUCAGAAGUGCUAUAUGCCAAAAUGGUCCUGCCCUCCGGUGUUUUAUGUCUGGCCCCUGUCUGUACAUAGUGGUUGGAAAAUAUUGUUUAACGCUUAUAUAAUAAUAAUAAUACUAAGACUAAUAGUUGGUCACGGUAAAUAUUAGACUAAAAUUUAGCGAUAAUAAUGCUAGGUUUCGUCGAAGGAAAAUAGAAUCGUUAGAAGCAAGCGCUGCCCGAUUUUGGAAUCAUCACCUUAACAAGUGAGUGCAUAGUUACUUUCAACUUACACAUAGAUAUGAAGUAUUUUAUAUAAAUUACGUGCUAUGUGUGCAUAUUAUCUGAAUACUUGCUAUCUAUGCUAGAUGAACGUUGUUAUACAUGUUUUCAAUGAUUUAAACUGUAUAUGUAUUUUAUAUCUACGAAAAUGUUGGGGUAAAACAUGGGUAGAUGCAAUAGGUGAUGUGUGAUAAAAUGAUGAGAGGCCUCGAUGUUGAUGUUGUUGAUUCUGUCAUCUAGCGGAGUAUGGAUGACGACCACGGACUCUUCUAGACAGUCCAGUGGAACACUAGCAGGCUCGCAACCUGUAGGUGUUUGUGAACGAUAUGUUCACCGGUGUACUCCAUCCCCCACAUGGUUGCCUUUAGGACAUUUAUUGCUGAGGAAUCCCCUUAGCAGUAGUGUCCGUCCCGAUGAUGAUCCUUAGGCUAGGUCCCUUAUGAUAGGUGUUUAGGGACGUAAAGUGAGGAUAACGGGAACGGGUAAUCGGGUUAUUGUUGAUCGAUGAAAUUAAUAAACUUAUUUAUUGUGGGUUGAAAACCCUAUGUGCUCACCAGGCUCCCAAGCCUGACCCACUCAGUUUUAUGUAUUACAGGUAGUGGCGCAUGAGCAUAGGUGUGAUGUUUUGGACGAGGGAUUACGGAUAUAGGCCUGUAGAUAUGAAAUAAUGUAGUAAGGCUUAUAUUGUACUGUUUAUGCUUUUGAUCUGUACGAACAUGACAUCCCGAGUCUUUUAAUGAAAUACAUUUCUAUGGAAAUGCUUUUGAUAAAUCUUUAUCAUAUUUUUGUUUUGGGACAAAUUCCGCAACACUUUCAUUUAAAAUGUAACUCUGAUUUUUAAACAAAGCAUAAACAAACCGGUCUUUUCUGGCCGUGAUUUUGGGGAUGUCACAGUUGGUAUCAGAGCAUUAGUUUAAGCGAACUAGGAAUUUGUAGGAUUUCUAGACUUAAACUUAGAAUGCUAAGCGAUGAUUGUGAGGUGUGAGCACUAGCUUAUUUUAGGAAUUGUGCCUAAAAUGCUUUUAUGUGCUAAAUGCUUUGUGCAUAAUAUGCUGUUAAUUGUUCGGAUCUAUGGUCUGUUGCCGACCGGAUCUGGAAACCUUAUGUGUUUAGGAUUCUAAACGUACGACUACGAUAUUAGAACUAGCAUGUAAACGUUUCGGAGUGAUAAGGACGAUUUAAAACGUCUAUCCUAAAUAAAGAUCUAAAUUCACCUUAUUCGGUGUAUAGAUCAAGAUGGCAAGGACCCGUAGCGGAAACGUGAACGCAAAUGGAGGUAGGAACCAACCCCCAGUGGUUCAGCAAAUACCUGUUGUUGAAGAAGUUGCACCUGAGCCAGUCACCAUGGCUGGAGUUCAAGCCAUGAUUCAGGCUAUGCUAGCUGAACAAAGGGAAGAAAUGAGACGGAUGCUCCACGAAAAUAGGGACGAACCUACCAUACAUGUUGAACCGACGGAGCCAGUUCCCGAGCCAUCUGAGGAAGGGAACUAUAGCCGCCAAGUGAGUCAAGUAGGGACUCAAGGUGAGCAAAAGGAUGGCCCAGAAGGGAGAAACAACAAGGAUGGGCGGAUGUACAAAAAUUUCUUGGGUGCGAAACCACCAAGUCUCUCAGGAAGCCCAAAGCCUGUUGAGAUUAUGGACUGGAUCUCCGAGAUGGAGAUGGUGUUUGAGAGCUGCGACUGCAGCGAGAAGCAGAAGACUGUCUUCGCUGUGAGACAAUUGAAAACUGGAGUCUUGAGCUGGUGGAAGCUAUUGGCAGAUACAAUGCCACGGGGAGAAGCUCUGAAAAUGUCAUGGGAUGAGUUCUUGGAACAACUGAAGGCGCAGUACUGUUCAGAGAUAGACCUGAUUGAUCUGAACAAUGAGUUCCAAAAUUUGAAGAAGGGGAGAAUGAGCAUCGAUGACUAUGCUGCUGCAUUUACGGAAAAGAUGAAGUUGUUUCCAUACCUAGUGCCAACCGAACUUUCCAAAAUUGAGAAAUUCGCAAACGGACUGCCGGCUGACUUUGGCCCAACAGUCAAGAUGGCAACCACUCUGAAAUCAGCUGUUCGAGCAGCUAAGAACGUGGAGACCCAACAAAAGGAAAGAGGUCUGGAGAGGGCUGAGGUUGGUGAGAAACGGAAGUUCAAUGGAUCCUCGAAGUCCAACAAGAAGAGUAGAUUCUCGAAGUCUGGUUCGAGGGGAGGAGGAUCAGAAGCGAAGUGGUGUGACAAGUGCAAGAAGAAGCACUCUGGGAAGUGUGACGGAGGGGUCACUUGUUACAAGUGCGGAAAGCCUGGGCACUACGCCAAUGAAUGCACCCUCAACCAGAAAGCCUGUUAUGGGUGCAAUGAAGAAGGGCACAUUUUGAAGGACUGCCCGAAGAAGAAGGAGACAGGAAGACCCAACAUACCACCGAAGCCGAAGGCGAGAGCCUUCCAGAUGACGCUCGAGGCUGCAAAGGAGGCAGCAGACGUCGCUUCAGGUACCUUUCUUGUAAAUGGUUUGCCUGCAAAUAUACUAUUUGAUUCCGGAGCCAACUACUCCUUUGUGUCGCAUAAAUUUGGUGGGAAAUUAGCAUUGCCUGUAGAAAAACUAGAUAAUGCCCUGAUUGUAGAAGUUGCCAGUGGCAAAUUCGUACCUGUUAGUAAUCGUAUUAGGAACAUCGUCAUUGACCUAAACGGAAACGAAUUCCACGAAGAGCUAUUACCCAUAGAGUUAAACGGUUUCGACAUCGUUUUGGGUAUGGAUUGGCUUAGCGCCAACGAUGCUGAGAUUCAAUGCCGAAAGAAGAUAGUAAAGGUAAACCCACCCGGAAAAGAAUCAUUUAUGGUGUAUGGGGACAAACGCAGAGUGAAUUCUGGAAUCAUCUCCCUGAUGAAAGCCAGGAAAUGUUUGUCCAAAGGAUGUGCAUCAUACUUGGCAUUCGUAAUCGAUGCCAAGAAGGAGAAGAAAGAGGUGCAGAAUAUACCGGUUGUGUGCGAUUAUCCGGAAGUCUUUCCCGAAGAUCUUCCCGGAUUACCACCUGAUAGACAAGUGGAGUUUCGUAUAGACUUGUUACCAGGAACAACACCGAUAGCAAAGGCACCUUACCGAUUAGCACCGACGGAGAUGAAGGAGCUCAUGACGCAACUUCAGGAGCUGUUGGACAACGGUUUUAUUCGACCUAGUUCAUCACCCUGGGGAGCUCCGGUGUUAUUCGUGAAGAAGAAAGACGGAAGUAUGAGAAUGUGUAUAGACUACCGAGAGCUGAAUAAGGCAACGGUGAAGAACAAGUAUCCAUUGCCGAGGAUUGAUGACCUAUUCGAUCAGCUGCAAGGUUCGAGCUACUUCUCAAAGAUCGAUCUUAGGUCAGGAUAUCAUCAGCUAAAGGUGAGAAAGCAGGAUAUUGAGAAGACUGAUGUCCCAAUUUGCUAAAUAAAGUACACUUUUAUAAUAAAUAAAAUUAUUGACUAAUAACAAAUAUCUUUUGUGAAGAAUUACUAGGCAUACAAAAUAAGUGCUGAAGGUGUUUUCCAUGCAAUAUUAAGAAUAUUUUUUGAUUGAUUCAACAUGAAGUAUGUUCAUCUCAUCACUUCCUGAAGAUAAAUAACCACAAGUUUUAGGAACAGAGGGGUAUUUCUGGAAAUACAUAAACAGGGUCAAAGACUCAUAGCUAAAGCUACCUGUACACCAGCAUAUCAGUUCCAUCGAGGCAUAAUCGCCCAACACAAAAACCUUAUUUGAGAUUCAAUGGAACUAUAAUUGCACCUUUAAACUUUAACAAAAAAAAACUAAAUAAGAUCAUUAAAAGAAUGAAGUGUUUUAAAGUGUUAAGGGUAAAAAC